UACGAAGGGGGCUAGCGUUGCUCGGAAUGACUGGGCGUAAAGGGCGCGUAGGCGGAUGGCACAGUCAGAUGUGAAAUUCCCGGGCUUAACCUGGGAACUGCGUUUGAUACGGUGUGGCUAGAGUUCGGGAGAGGAGAGUGGAAUUCCCAGUGUAGAGGUGAAAUUCGUAGAUAUUGGGAAGAACACCGGUGGCGAAGGCGGCUCUCUGGACCGAGACUGACGCUGAGGCGCGAAAGCGUGGGGAGCAAACAGG
rnacentral:rRNA from 1 species